AUCUGGGCGGCGGAAUUCAAGACGGCUGGCGAGUCUCGCGCUCGUUCGGCCGUUUGAUAUUUCCGUCGCCGUGUCAGACGUCGCGACCUGUUUGUCGUCGGUCCUUGCUCGGAGGAAUCGCGAUCGAGUUCGUUGCGGGCGCGCUUCGGUGUGCUUCGCGGCGAAGACGCGACUCUCUGACUGACGACGGACAGUAAGCAACGGUGUCCGGCGUCGUGUCUCGCACUCGGCGUCGGUGCCGGUCAGCGACGAUUUCUUCGGGCCUCUUUCCGACCCGUCUUGAAACACGGACCAAGGAGUCUAACAUGCGCGCGAGUCGCGGGGUUUCGAGCGUACCACGGUGCGCUCGUUACUUCCGAAACCCGUACGUUGAAGGCGUAAUGAAAGUGAAUAGGGAAGAUGGCGUUCCGAGUCCACGUACCGUGAUCGAGUAUCGCGGCCGGACGUCCGCACUCCCGGGGCGUCUCAAUGGUUCGCCACGGAUGCGGACGAUCGUCUUUCGGGGCGGUCGUCGGUCUGUGGCGGUCCGA
rnacentral:rRNA from 1 species